rnacentral:rRNA from 1 species
GACGAACGCUGGCGGCGUGCUUAACACAUGCAAGUCGAACGGAAAGGCCCUGCUUUUGUGGGGUGCUCGAGUGGCGAACGGGUGAGUAACACGUUAGUAACCUUCCCUUUACUUUGGGAUAACUUCAGGAAACUGGGGCUAAUACCGGAUAGGAGCUCCUGCUGCAUGGUGGGGGCUGUAAAGUUUCGGCGGUUGGGGAUGGACUCGCGGCUUAUCAGCUUGUUGGUGGGGUAGUGGCUUACCAAGGCUUUGACGGGUAGCCGGCCUGAGAGGGUGACCGGCCACAUUGGGACUGAGAUACGGCCCAGACUCCUACGGGAGGCAGCAGUGGGGAAUAUUGCACAAUGGGCGGAAGCCUGAUGCAGCAACGCCGCGUGCGGGAUGACGGCCUUCGGGUUGUAAACCGCUUUCGCCUGUGACGAAGCGUGAGUGACGGUAAUGGGUAAAGAAGCACCGGCUAACUACGUG